UCAUGGUAAAAAGAUUGUUUUUGCACCAUUGAUUCCUAGUGAAGUGAUUGAAGAUCAAAUAAAAAUGAGAGAAAAAAUGAAAAAGAAAGAAAAUAAAAAUAAAAAAGAAAGAAAAGAAAAAGAAAAAAGAAAGAAAAGAAAAAGAAAAAGAAAAGGAAAGGAAAUAGAAAGUGAAAAGAUGGAUAAAAACUAAUGAAAAAGAAGAAAAGAAAGAGAGUUUUAUGGCAAAAAAAGAUAGGGGUAAAAAAUGUCAU
rnacentral:lncRNA from 1 species